GUGGGGAAUAUUGGACAAUGGGCGCAAGCCCGAUCCAGCAAUGCCGCGUGGGUGAAGAAGGCCUUCGGGUUGUAAAGCCCUUUUGUACGGAAAGAAAUCCUGGUGGUUAAUACCCGCCGGGGAUGACGGUACCGUAAGAAUAAGCACCGGCUAACUUCGUGCCAGCAGCCGCGGUAAUACGAAGGGUGCAAGCGUUAAUCGGAAUUACUGGGCGUAAAGCGUGCGUAGGUGGUUUCUUAAGUCUGUCGUGAAAGCCCUGGGCUCAACCUGGGGAUGGCGAUGGAUACUGGGAGGCUAGAGUGCGGUAGAGGAUGGCGGAAUUCCCGGUGUAGCGGUGAAAUGCGUAGAGAUCGGGAGGAACAUCUGUGGCGAAGGCGGCCAUCUGGACCAGCACUGACACUGAGGCACGGAAGCGUGGGGAGCAAACAGGAUUAGAAACCCUGGUAGUCC
rnacentral:rRNA from 1 species